ACGUAUGGUGCAAGCGUUAUCCGGAUUUACUGGGUGUAAAGGGGGCGCAGGUGGCCAGGCAAGUCAGAAGUGAAAGCCCGGGGCUCAACCCCGGGACUGCUUUUGAAACUGUCCGGCUGGAGUGCAGGAGAGGUGAGUGGAAUUCCCAGUGUAGCGGUGAAAUGCGGAGAUAUUGGGAAGAACACCAGUGGCGAAGGCGGCUCACUGGACUGUAACUGACACUGAGGCCCGAAAGCGUGGGGAGCAAACAG
rnacentral:rRNA from 1 species